GAUGAACGCUGGCGGCGUGCCUAAUACAUGCAAGUCGAGCGAACGGACGAGAAGCUUGCUUUUCUGAUGUUAGCGGCGGACGGGUGAGUAACACGUGGAUAACCUACCUAUAAGACUGGGAUAACUUCGGGAAACCGGAGCUAAUACCGGAUAAUAUUUUGAACCGCAUGGUUCAAAAGUGAAAGACGGUCUUGCUGUCACUUAUAGAUGGAUCCGCGCCGCAUUAGCUAGUUGGUAAGGUAACGGCUUACCAAGGCAACGAUGCAUAGCCGACCUGAGAGGGUGAUCGGCCACACUGGAACUGAGACACGGUCCAGACUCCUACGGGAGGCAGCAGUAGGGAAUCUUCCGCAAAGGGCGAAAGCCUGACGGAGCAACGCCGCGUGAGUGAUGAAGGUCUUCGGAUCGUAAAACUCUGUUAUUAGGGAAGAACAUAUGUGUAAGUAACUGUGCACAUCUUGACGGUACCUAAUCAGAAAGCCACGGCUAACUACGUG
rnacentral:rRNA from 1 species